rnacentral:rRNA from 1 species
AGUGAACGCUGGCGGUAGGCCUAACACAUGCCAGUCGAACGGCAGCACAGUAAGAGCUUGCUCUUACGGGUGGCGAGUGGCGGACGGGUGAGGAAUACAUCGGAAUCUACUUUUUCGGGGGGGAUAACGUAGGGAAACUUACGCUAAUACCGCAUACGACCUACGGGUUAAAGCAGGGGAUCUUCGGACCUUGCGCGAUUGAAUGCGCCGAUGUCGGAUUAGCUAGUUGGGGGGGUAAUGGCCCACCAAGGCGCCGAUCCGUAGCGGGUCUGAGAGGAUGAUCAGCAACACUGGAACUGAGACACGGUCCAGACUCCUACGGGAGGCAGCAGUGGGGAAUAUUGGACAAUGGGCGCAAGCCUGAUCCAGCCAUACCGCGUGGGUGAAGAAGGCCUUCGGGUUGUAAAGCCCUUUUGUUGGGAAAGAAAAGCAGCAGGUUAAUACCCCGCUGUUCUGACGGUACCCAAAGAAUAAGCACCGGCUAACUUCGUG